ACGAUGAAGAGUUUGAUCCUGGCUCAGGAUGAACGCUAGCGGCAGGCUUAACACAUGCAAGUCGAGGGGUAACAUUGUGCUUGCACAGAUGACGACCGGCGCACGGGUGCGUAACGCGUAUGCAAUCUACCUUUUACAGGGGAAUAGCCCAGAGAAAUUUGGAUUAAUGCCUCAUAGUAUAUAGUUGUGGCAUCACAAUUAUAUUAAAGAUUUAUCGGUAAAAGAUGAGCAUGCGUUCUAUUAGUUAGUUGGUAAGGUAACGGCUUACCAAGACUACGAUAGAUAGGGGCCCUGAGAGGGGGAUCCCCCACACUGGUACUGAGACACGGACCAGACUCCUACGGGAGGCAGCAGUGAGGAAUAUUGGACAAUGGGCGAGAGCCUGAUCCAGCCAUGCCGCGUGCAGGAAGACUGCCCUAUGGGUUGUAAACUGCUUUUAUACAGGAAGAAACACUGCUACGUGUAGCAGCUUGACGGUACUGUAAGAAUAAGGAUCGGCUAACUCCGUGCCAGCAGCCGCGGUAAUACGGAGGAUCCAAGCGUUAUCCGGAAUCAUUGGGUUUAAAGGGUCCGUAGGUGGACAAUUAAGUCAGAGGUGAAAUCUUGCAGCUCAACUGUAAAAUUGCCUUUGAUACUGGUUGUCUUGAGUUAUUAUGAAGUAGUUAGAAUAUGUAGUGUAGCGGUGAAAUGCAUAGAUAUUACAUAGAAUACCAAUUGCGAAGGCAGAUUACUAAUAAUCAACUGACACUGAUGGACGAAAGCGUGGGUAGCGAACAGGAUUAGAUACCCUGGUAGUCCACGCCGUAAACGAUGGUUACUAGCUGUUCGGACUUCGGUCUGAGUGGCUAAGCGAAAGUGAUAAGUAACCCACCUGGGGAGUACGUUCGCAAGAAUGAAACUCAAAGGAAUUGACGGGGGCCCGCACAAGCGGUGGAGCAUGUGGUUUAAUUCGAUGAUACGCGAGGAACCUUACCAGGGCUUAAAUGUAGAUUGACAGGACUAGAGAUAGUUUUUUCUUCGGACAAUUUACAAGGUGCUGCAUGGUUGUCGUCAGCUCGUGCCGUGAGGUGUCAGGUUAAGUCCUAUAACGAGCGCAACCCCUGUUGUUAGUUGCCAGCGAGUCAAGUCGGGAACUCUAACAAGACUGCCAGUGCAAACUGUGAGGAAGGUGGGGAUGACGUCAAAUCAUCACGGCCCUUACGUCCUGGGCUACACACGUGCUACAAUGGUAGGGACAGAGAGCAGCCACUGGGUGACCAGGAGCGAAUCUAUAAACCCUAUCACAGUUCGGAUCGGAGUCUGCAACUCGACUCCGUGAAGCUGGAAUCGCUAGUAAUCGCAUAUCAGCCAUGAUGCGGUGAAUACGUUCCCGGGCCUUGUACACACCGCCCGUCAAGCCAUGGAAGUUGGAAGUGCCUGAAGUCCGUCACCGCAAGGAGCGGCCUAGGGUAAAGUCGAUAACUAGGGCUAAGUCGUAACAAGGUAGCCGUACCGGAAGGUGCGGCUGGAACACCUCCUUU
rnacentral:rRNA from 1 species